rnacentral:lncRNA from 1 species
CUCAUCUAUACUAAUAUCAAUAUUAGCAGUUGGAGAGAGGGCAAGAUUUUUACUUUAUAAUACAGCAUAUAUUUCUAUAAACAAGUAAAAGUUCUUAAUAUCUAAUAAUAGCCAUGGCCUAAUGUCUACCGUGGUCAGGCAGGCGGGUUAUAUUUGUAGAGGUACAGAAACGAGUGGAUCCAAGAAGCAAAGAGCUAGCUGAGUCCUGGUUCCUCUACUUGCCAUCAGGGUGAUCUUGAAACCCAUUACCCUGCUAAGAUUCACUCCUCUCCUAGAAGAUGGAUGCUAUUGUUUUUUUCAAUCCAAGAUGCUACCACUGAGCUGUUAAUAUACUUUAAAGAAGAGAAUCAGAAGAAACAGGAGGAAGAUUAGAGGAAGUAGAUUUACCUUGCCAUCCAGUGUACUUUCUUCCACCACAUGAAAACGUCGUUUGUGGGCACCUGGCUGGCUCAGUCAGUAGAACGUGCGACCCUUGAUCUCAGGGUGGAAAUUCAAAGGAGCAGCCUGAACCAAGGAACAGACUUUUCCAUCCUCACUUCAAAAGGCUGA